UAUUAAUUCUUCAUUAAUGAGUUAUUAAUUUAUGAACUUUUACACAGUUAUGUUCAAUUAACCAAGUUAUUAGUGUUCAGUGAUAGUAGUAAUAGUUUAGUGUACGAAGAGGAGCAAUAAAUACGGUGGAUGGGGUAAAGUGAAAAGUCAACGAAGUUCAGUAAAAUAUUGUGGGGCGAUUUGGAAAUAAAAUUUGGAUCAAUUUAUCGAAAUGUGAUGUGGAACAAUUUGGAAAUAAUUAAAAUUUAAGUUAUCAGUUGUUGAGUACGUUGAGGCACGUGUCUAAGCGAAAAAAAGGAUAAUAUAGGAAAGUUGAUAGGACGAAAACGAGUGUGCAACGAUAUAGGACAGGUGAAACGAGGGUUUGAACGUUUUCUAUGGGUGUAGGGAGAUGGACGUGAGACCGAUAGGUACUAGGUAUCCGGAUGUUGGACAUUCGUAGGAUCUCUUGACGCGUGCAUCGAUGUCCAACUCUCCCGAGGGAAAUCCACUUCAUGAUGGGAAUCCCAUUAUUUCCCGAGCGAUAUAAAAGUAGGUAGGUAGUCCAGUCAUUCUGGUACUGUCCAGUUGAGGCUAUUCUCUGCCACCCCGACUAGCCAUCCCUCUAUUCUUUUUCUCUUUCUUUCUUUCUCUCUUUUUUCUCUCUCUCUACA